rnacentral:lncRNA from 1 species
CCUGCCUGUGUGUCGCCUUUCAAGUGAUUUCCCUUGCUGCUCUCGCUAACACGACUUUAUCCCUGCCGGAGAGGCUGUUGAGCAUUGAUGGGGAGAGGUGAAGGCCUGCACCAGCCCUUGCCCGGCGCUGGGCCCAGCCAUUGGAGCAGGGCUGUAAAAGCAGAAAAAUGAGCGUGCAUUGUGCUUAGGCUGCAGUCAUUCUGCCUAAAUUGGGGAACAUUCUGCAAAUAUUUCAAGUCAAAUACUACUGGUGCUGUCACUGCUGCCUCUCAGUCACUGGGCUACAGCAGCCAUAGGUUGGUCUCGUUGACUCCAGCUGGGCAGCCUCCCGUUUGGACAAGCAAGACUACCAAAAGACUGAAAAUUGGCCCUGUGAAUAAGCUCAUGGCCACAUACAGGAGUGGGGAGCUCUGCCUGUCUGCCUCCUGGCUGCAGAAGCAUUGCAAAUCUGCUCACAGUACAACCAUCUUCUGAUCGAGUAACAGCAGAUGUGCCAUAAUCUACAAGAGCAUGGAUGGGUGGAUGGAUGGAUGGGCAGUGGCUGUACUGCCAGCCUUCUCCCAGAACAUUCUGUUUUCCUCUUGGUUCUCACGUGGCAUUGUGGCAGUCACAGCUUCCAAACAAGACCAUGGGCAUUUCUUGCUCUCCGGAAGGACUCAUCUCAUGCAGGCUCACCUGCAUGGCAAGUGUUCUGCACCACCUAUUGCACUGCUCUCCUGUAUGCCCACGUUUCAUUAUAUAGUUGCCAUUUCUAACGAUGUAAAAAUAGGACAUGCUGGCGUGGUUUAAAUGGUGCUACGAGCACUGCAGAGAGGCACAGUGAUAGCUGUGUGGGAAAUGAGAG